UCUCAGCAUAUCUUGAAUAAGCCGAUCUCAUCUCGAUUCAAGAUACCACAGAUGGAACCAUAUGAUUGUUUCACUGAUCUAAUUGACCAUUUGAAGAGUUACAAGCUCUCAUGAUGAUCCAGGGGGCAAUCGAUGUCCUCUUAUGCAUUGACUUUCCGACUACCAUUCGGAAGGCUGCUCGAGCAUGAUAUUCUGAGCUCCAACUGGAAAGCAUAAAUUUCUUUAAGCAGCUUGAACAUUCAUUUGUAGCCCACUUCAACACUA
rnacentral:lncRNA from 1 species